rnacentral:rRNA from 1 species
GAUGAACGCUGGCGGCGUGCCUAAUACAUGCGAGUCGAGCGAACAGACGAGGAGCUUGCUCCUCUGACGUUAGCGGCGGACGGGUGAGUAACACGUGGAUAACCUACCUAUAAGACUGGGAUAACUUCGGGAAACCGGAGCUAAUACCGGAUAAUAUAUUGAACCGCAUGGUUCAAUAGUGAAAGACGGUUUUGCUGUCACUUAUAGAUGGAUCCGCGCCGCAUUAGCUAGUUGGUAAGGUAACGGCUUACCAAGGCAACGAUGCGUAGCCGACCUGAGAGAGUGAUCGGCCACACUGGAACUGAGACACGGUCCAGACUCCUACGGGAGGCAGCAGUAGGGAAUCUUCCGCAAUGGGCGAAAGCCUGACGGAGCAACGCCGCGUGAGUGAUGAAGGUCUUCGGAUCGUAAAACUCUGUUAUUAGGGAAGAACAAAUGUGUAAGUAACUAUGCACGUCUUGACGGUACCUAAUCAGAAAGCCACGGCUAACUACGUG